CAAAAUGAGGGCAUCCAGCAGAAGUGCGUUAGCCACUUCAUUUCGCCUGACGCAAUGCGGAAGCCCCCUCUCGACACCCCAGGGACUGGAUUCCCCUGCAGUCCAUCCUUCAACUGUGGAUGCCACAGAUAAACCAGAAACACCAACGUGCCCGUCAGCGGCCCCAGGGACUGGAUUCCCCUGCAGUCCAUCCUUCAACUGUGGAUGCCACAGAUAAACCAAAAACACCAACGUGCCCGUCAGCGGCCCCAGGGACUGGAUUCCCCUGCAGUCCAUCCUUCAACUGUGGAUGCCACAGAUAAACCAAAAACACCAACGUGCCCGUCAGCGGAGAACGAUGGGCGGAGCCACCCUGUGGGCUAUUCAUUCUUAAAAGAGCAACAAAGGGCGCCCUCAUCCUGCACCUGACGGAGCACCUGCUGCACAGCAACAUGACCAGCAGUGACAUCCUCCUGUGACCAGCAGUGACAUCCUCCUGUGACCAGCAGUAACAUCCUCCUGUGCUACACAUGGUUGGCUGGAUGAUGUGGAACUGGAUGGUGUCCAUUCUGGCCACAGGAGCGGCCAUGGGCUUGUACGAUGGCUCCCCCAUGGUGUCCAUGCCCAACAUGCUCUGGGACCUGGUUGACAGGAUAGGCAUCCUGGUAACCAGGGUGAAGUGGCUGUCGGCGCUGGAAGAGAAGGCCAUGAAGCCGGUGCGUCAAGAGCAGCGUCCUCCUGGGCUCCACCUCGGGUAUGGCUCUGCGGGGGACAGACCUCCCGGCCAUCCCCGCCUCCGGAAGGCAGGCCGGCCCUGUAAGUAUGCACACCCUCUGCCCAGUGCUUGGAUUCAUCCCAAGGGCACGGUCUACUGGGCGGCCAGUACGCACAGUCCCCUCUCAGUGUCUGAGGCAGUGAUGCUCUGCAAAGUCACUGUGAACACCGAGUCAGCACGGAUGGAACCCUUGCUCCUGGGGGAAGUAGGUUGGUACACACACACCUCUCACAUCGAUUAUAGUCUUAAAUCCAAAACAACACAUCUUGGUAGGUUCUAUUUUUUUAUCUUGUGAAAGAGAAAAUGCAGUUCAGAAGCGUUCAGUGACUUGCCCAAGGCCACUGUCAGGUGCCAGAGCUGG
rnacentral:lncRNA from 1 species